rnacentral:rRNA from 1 species
AAUGAACGCUGGCGGCAGGCCUAACACAUGCAAGUCGAACGGAUCCUUCGGGAUUAGUGGCGGACGGGUGAGUAACGCGUGGGAACAUACCCUUUGGUACGGAAUAGCCUCGGGAAACUGGGAGUAAUACCGUAUGUGGUCGAGAGACGAAAGAUUUAUCGCCAAAGGAUUGGCCCGCGUUGGAUUAGGUAGUUGGUGGGGUAAUGGCCUACCAAGCCGACGAUCCAUAGCUGGUCUGAGAGGAUGAUCAGCCACACUGGGACUGAGACACGGCCCAGACUCCUACGGGAGGCAGCAGUGGGGAAUCUUAGACAAUGGGGGAAACCCUGAUCUAGCCAUGCCGCGUGAUCGAUGAAGGCCUUAGGGUUGUAAAGAUCUUUCAGGUGGGAAGAUAAUGACUGUACCACCAGAAGAAGCCCCGGCUAACUCCGUGCCAGCCGCCGCAGUAAAAC